UGCGUAGGUGGUCUCGCAUGUCGGAUGUGAAAUGUCACUGCUCAACGGUGGAAGGCCAUUCGAAACUGCGAGGCUAGAGUGCAGAAGAGGAGAGCGGAAUUCUCGGUGUAGCGGUGGAAUGCGUUGAUAUCGAGAAGAACACCGGUGGCGUAGGCGGCUCUCUGGUAUGCAACUGACACUGAGGCACAAAAGCGUGGGGAGCAAACA
rnacentral:rRNA from 1 species